GAGCAAAAAUGCAUGCACAGGACAAACCUAUGUAAAACUGUUCCAGUUAAAUUCUAUCAAUUUCAUUAAGUUUUCACACCGAACAGAAGUUGACCCAUUGCAAUAUUUCUGAAAAUGACACGCUCAACAAUAUUUUUUGCUACACUUGCCGUGUCCCUUCUUCUGUGCGGCAUAGCAUACGCGUCAGAUAAUCAGGACGACGACUUUGACGACUUUUCCUCAUCCCGCAUCGCUCGAGAUGGUCAUUUUGGAAGAUAUCGAAACAUCCAUAACAGAAGACCUGUCCCACCUCGUCGCUACCAACCACACCCACACAACGCAAACCGACGGAUAUACCCCGCUCCUUCACAAACAGGGAAUUCACGACCGCAGCAGGAUAGAUAUGUUGAUGAGGCGGAUAGAAACGGAUAUGCUGCCAUUUUAGGACGAUGAUCCUUCUUGCUAUAAUUUUAUACUACAACCUUCAAAAUUGGUAUCCAUAUGUGUGUAACGGUUAAGACUAAUCUUAGUUGCCCUGUAAUAUAAAAUAAUUUUUUUAUCAUGAACAACAAUAUGCAUGUAUCCUAAAAUCCUAAAAUCAUAAUAGGAUUGUUGCGUCAUACAAAGAUUCUCUGUCAAUUGUAACUUUGACGAACAAAUAUGCCUCACAUUAGGUUCAUCCAUGUACAAUAAAUAAAGAAUUAUGAACAUGA